rnacentral:rRNA from 1 species
GGGAUUAGUGGCGAACGGGUGAGUAACACGUGAGUAACCUGCCCUUAACUCUGGGAUAAGCCUGGGAAACUGGGUCUAAUACCGGAUAUGACUCCUCAUCGCAUGGUGGGGGGUGGAAAGCUUUUUGUGGUUUUGGAUGGACUCGCGGCCUAUCAGCUUGUUGGUGAGGUAAUGGCUUACCAAGGCGACGACGGGUAGCCGGCCUGAGAGGGUGACCGGCCACACUGGGACUGAGACACGGCCCAGACUCCUACGGGAGGCAGCAGUGGGGAAUAUUGCACAAUGGGCGCAAGCCUGAUGCAGCGACGCCGCGUGAGGGAUGACGGCCUUCGGGUUGUAAACCUCUUUCAGUAGGGAAGAAGCGAAAGUGACGGUACCUGCAGAAGAAGCGCCGGCUAACUACGUGCCAGCAGCCGCGGUAAUACGUAGGGCGCAAGCGUUAUCCGGAAUUAUUGGGCGUAAAGAGCUCGUAGGCGGUUUGUCGCGUCUGCCGUGAAAGUCCGGGGCUCAACUCCGGAUCUGCGGUGGGUACGGGCAGACUAGAGUGAUGUAGGGGAGACUGGAAUUCCUGGUGUAGCGGUGAAAUGCGCAGAUAUCAGGAGGAACACCGAUGGCGAAGGCAGGUCUCUGGGCAUUAACUGACGCUGAGGAGCGAAAGCAUGGGGAGCGAACAGGAUUAGAUACCCUGGUAGUCCAUGCCGUAAACGUUGGGCACUAGGUGUGGGGGA